ACUGCCGGUGACAAGCCGGAGGAAGGCGGGGAUGACGUCAAGUCAUCAUGCCCCUUACGACCUGGGCUACACACGUGCUACAAUGGUCGGUACAGAGGGUCGCCAAGUCGCGAGAUGGAGCUAAUCUCACAAAACCGAUCGCAGUCCGGAUCGCAGUCUGCAACUCGCCUGCGUGAAGUCGGAAUCGCUAGUAAUCGCGAAUCAGAAUGUCGCGGUGAAUACGUUCCCGGGCCUGUACACACCGCCCGUCACACCCGGGAGUGGCAGCACCA
rnacentral:rRNA from 1 species